CACCCCCAAACUCAGCCCUCCAGCUGUUUUGGGACUGCAACUCCCAUCAUCCCUAGCUAACAGAACCAGUGGUCAGGGAUGAUGGGAACUGUAGUUCCCAAACAUCUGGAUGGCAGGUUUGGGGAUG